UGAAUUGUAUGUAUUUGUUGCAGAUAGUAUUAGUAUAAUAACUGCUGUGUUUUGUAAUAAAUAUUUAAAAUAAUGCAAGUUUUGCAGCACUUCCUAAACCUCAUGAAUUUUCUAGGACCAUUAUGGCUAGCAGUAGGCUAGCUAGAUAGAUUCAGUUGAACUUAUUUUGAUACAGAAGUGUAACUACGGUAUAUUUCUAAAAUAUGUUUUUUUCUGUUAAGUAAAACAUGUUUUGUGUUUUAGGCCAAAGAGGGAGACCAUCUAUUAAUGUCACCAGAGCUCAGAUACAAGUGCUCCAAAGACAGGGUUUUACCAUUAAAGCAAUGGCCAGGAACAUGGGUUGUUCAUCCUCCUAUCUGUACAAAAAAUCCAUAUUGUUGGGUAUAUCUUUGCGUCAUCGAUUCAGAACUAUUGGCGAUGAUGAGCUUGAGCAACACAUAAGCAGACUACACCAACAGUGUCCACAAUCAGGCAUAACGAUGAUGCAGGGAUACCUUCGGGCUGAGGGGAUAACGGUUCAAAGAAGACGGGUUCGUGAGAUGCUGACCAGGGUGGACCCAGCUGCAGCAGCCCAGAGGUGGAGCAACGUUGUUGCAAGACGCAGUUAUCAUGUGCCAUUUCCAAACAGUUUAUGGCACAUAGAUGGCCACAUGCGUCUCAUACGAUGGGGGUUUGUGACCCACGCUGGAA